CUAUGGAAAACGUAAUACAGCCAUACAGGACAUGAGUAAUCUUCAGGUUUAUUGCAGCUACUUAAAAGAAGUCAUGUGAAAAGAAGCAGGGCAGGGCACUUAUCAACAUAUGUUCAAAACUGCUGCUGCUGCCUCCGCCUACAGCGACAAGCAGGCUAAUUGCUCUCUUUCUUCAGAUAACUGAAAGGCUGCUGCAGUCAUCUAGUCUUCAUCCUCCCUCGACUCAUUUCGUCUUCUGGAUCGCUUAGUAAAGCUGACUGGUGUUAUCAAUCCAUUUAGAUAACGACCUAGAGGAGGCCGCCUACAAACUGUCAACAUCAGAAGGGAUCAGAAGUCAGCAUCUCUACGAAAUGGCGGUGACGCGGCUUCACGGUGACAUCAAACAUUUUCUACGUGGAUCAUCAUUUAUUUUUGGUAUUAUGUUUUUGCUAGUUAACCCGUUGGCUGCCACGCCUU